CACCUUUUCCCGUCGGGCUCGUCCUGCCGGAGCAUCGCCAUCCCCGUCGAGCUUGUCGUCGCGCUUGCCUCGUCAUCGCCGCGCACUCGCCGUCUGGAGCUCGCCAUCGCCGUUGGCUGAAUACCCGUCCUCGUUGUGCGACGUCCCGAGGUGAGAAUGGAGGAUCGUCUACCCCCUACGUGUCCAUAACCCCGCCAUCGCAUCCAUCAUUUGUUCGUGCGUCAAACAUGUUGCCUAUCCGCGCCAUCGCGCGUGCUACCUCGCGCGUAGCGUGCUCAUCGCUCUCGUGCGUUGCACGUCUCGUCGCGCUUCACUAAACCAUCCCACCUAGAAUCGCUCGUGCUAAUUAACGACAUAUUAAAAUGGUGAUUAUUCGAGUACCAACACAAUCAAAGUUAAGUAAUGAUUUUAUUGGUGCUUACAACAAUUGCUUGCUAUUAUGGCUAAGUCAAAUACAAUAUCAUAAUCAAUAUUCGCGUAGCGUGUUUUAAGUCAGCGCGUGCCAUUCGCGCGCAUCGUGCGUGUCGUUCACACGUGUCGACGCGCGUUGUCGCAUGUGCCGUUUCGCGCACCUUGUUUAGCGGGUUGCGUGUCCUGUCACGCGGCAAUAAACUAUUUCGUAUAGAAUCACUCACGUUAAUUAAUUUACGUGAUUGAAUGAUGAUUAACCGAGUGUUUAACCAAUCAGAACUAAGUGUUAAUUCUAUCGAGACAUGUGAUAAAUACCUGUUAUAGCGGUUAUGCCAGUUUCAGUGUUGCAUUUAAUAUUUGUUUAGUAUAAAUACAACAUAGAUUAGUAGUUUUCGCAUGUCACACGCUAUUUGCGCAUCGCCGUUACUUGUUCGCGCGUUUGCGCCGCGCGUCUUGUACGUGUAUCGUCGCGUGUUGUUCGCGCGCAUCAUCUCGCGUCCUUUGCUCAUGGUAACACAUGGCCGCGCGCGCUUUCCGCGUGCUCCUUUGCACGUGGCCGCGCGCGCUUUCCGCGUGUGGUGCUCAUGGUCGUCGUGUCGCAUGCAGUCGUGCCGUUUCGCGCAUCAUAAACUCGCCUCGCUUAGAAUUUCUCGUGCUAACUAUAUUACUUAUUUAUUUGACAGCUGUUAGUGUAGCAAAUUAACCAAAACUUAAUAGCAGUUAUAAUUUAGGUUUGAUAAUGUUAUGAUUAAUAUUUGUUUAGCGUAAAUGCGCUAACUUCUCGACCGUAGCUCCGAUUAUCGCGUUUCUUUUCCUUGCGUGACCAUAAUAGCGAGCUCUAUUUUGUUUUGUAAAUUUUAUUAUGUUUUUAUUUGAAUGGUGUAAUAUUCUUAUGCAUAUACAUAUGUCUAUUUUUUGUGCCUGUUGGUAUUCGCUAUGUAACGCGAAUAGAAUGCGAUCUGUUUUCGAGCUUCGAGGAAUGACGAUCAAGCUUUGACGACCAAGUGAACGAACUCUUUGAGUUCUACGAGAUCGAAGACCCUGAGCAUCUGUUUGGUGAAGGCAAGUGUCCUCUGACCCAUUAUAUCCCAUUUACUUUAUAAUUCACUGUCCCGCAUACUAUGAACAACAUAAGGAUUGACUAGCUUUCUAUUUACCUUGUCCUUGAUUACCUUUUGGGUUACUAUGGUUAGCUUCAUGCUAGCGCUUUACUUUAAUCAAUGAACAUGAUGAGAUACAAUGAUGAUAUUAUGGUUUUUUUCUGGAUAUGAUGAUAUACUUGUGUCAUUUAAGGGGACUCGAGCGGUUUCUCGAGUGCCUCUCCGUAAGGACCUGUUCGUUGGAUGACCGCCCAGGAAAACAGUGCAACCAUGAGGGUGGAAUGGGACGCCCUUAGCUGAAUAAUUAGAGGAACUGGGGUGUAGUUCGCUUCGCUGUCGUGCCUGUUGGGGGCCUUCGUCUUCCGAAGGUCCUCAAAAACAUGAUUAACAAUGUUUCCCAAGCAUAAUAUAUGUAUAGGAACCUUCGGACUCAGGAUGAAGUUGUACACAAUAUGGAAAGCAGGAUCGGAACGAAGGUUGAACCAGCGCCGAAGCUACGCGCAAGGAUGCUUCGGCUCAGUAGCAGAAAGAGGAACCAACUUAAGAAGGAAAAGGCUAUCUAGUCCUCGAUAGAUUGUUAUUAAGUUAAUAGUGUCAAUAGUGAAUAUGAAGGGCAUGAAUGUAAUUUUGCGCAUGCUGCGUCCUGUGCCUAUAAAUAGAUGAACAGUACCCCCAUACUGUUCACGCUGACUUGUACUCGCUAGUGCGUCACGCUUGUAUCUUUGCCUUCUGUCAAGCCGAAGGUACAAAUGUAACUCAAUGUUUUUCUUAUUCAUUCAUGAUUAUAUAAUAAAAGAUAUAUUAACA
rnacentral:lncRNA from 1 species